rnacentral:rRNA from 1 species
AGCAGUGAGGAAUAUUGGUCAAUAGCCUAACGGCUGAACCAGCAACUUGGAGGAAUGUAUAGCAAUAGCUGAUUGCACAAACAAACAGUUGAUGCAAGAUUGACUUUGUCAAAUAAAAUUCUAGGUAGAUUUAUGAUAAUGACAUUGUCUGCCUAUAUGUCUUGACCAAAUUACGUGCCAGCAGUCGCGGUAAUACGUAGAAGACUAGUGUUAUUCAUCUUUAAUUGGUUUAAAGGGUACCUAGACGGUAAAUCAAGCCUUCGCAGGGNCUAAUUUGCUAGAGUUACUUAUGAGGGGGUAUUAAAGUACUGCAGGUGUAGAGAUGAAAUUCUAUCAUACCUCUUUUCGAAAGAAAAACAAUGGCACAGGUAUAGGUGAAAACAUCCCCUUAUGUGAUAACUGACGUUGAAGGACGAAGGA